UCGAACGAGAAAGUGGAGCAAUCCAUGAGUAAAGUGGCGCACGGGUGAGUAACACGUGACUAACCUACCCUUGAGUGGGGGAUAACCUAGGGAAACCUGGGCUGAUACCGCAUAAUACCUACGGGUCAAAGGAGCAAUUCGCUUAAGGAGGGGGUCGCGGCCGAUUAGUUAGUUGGCGGGGUAAUGGCCCACCAAGACUGUGAUCGGUAUCCGGCCUGAGAGGGCGCACGGACACACUGGAACUGAAACACGGUCCAGACUCCUACGGGAGGCAGCAGUGGGGAAUUUUGCGCAAUGGGGGAAACCCUGACGCAGCAACGCCGCGUGGAGGAUGAAGUCCUUCGGGACGUAAACUCCUUUCGAUCGGGACGAUUAUGACGGUACCGGAAGAAGAAGCCCCGGCUAACUUCGUGCCAGCAGCCGCGGUAAUACGAGGGGGGCGAGCGUUGUUCGGAAUUAUUGGGCGUAAAGGGUGCGUAGGCGGUUUGGUAAGUCUGAUGUGAAAUCUAUGGGCUCAACUCAUAGUCUGCAUCGGAAACUGCCGGGCUUGAGUAUGGGAGAAGUGAGUGGAAUUUCCGGUGUAGCGGUGAAAUGCGUAGAUAUCGGAAGGAACACCUGUGGCGAAAGCGGCUCACUGGACCAUAACUGACGCUGAUGCACGAAAGCUAGGGGAGCAAACAGGAUUAGAUACCCUGGUAGUCCUAGCCCUAAACGAUGACUG
rnacentral:rRNA from 1 species